AAAGUCUCCUGAAGGAACGUUGAAGACGACGACGUUGAUAGGCCGGGUGUGUAAGCGCAGCGAUGCGUUGAGCUAACCGGUACUAAUGAACCGUGAGGCUUAACCUUAC
rnacentral:rRNA from 3 species